CCCUUAGAUGUUCUGGGCCGCACGCGCGCUACACUGUUCGACGCAGCGAGUCUUAACCUUGACCGAAAGGUUUGGGUAAUCUUCAGCAAAGUCGAACGUGAUGGGGAUCGAUCAUUGCAAUUAUUGAUCGUGAACGAGGAAUUCCUAGUAAGUGCAAGUCAUCAGCUUGCGCUGAUUACGUCCCUACCCUUUGUACACACCGCCCGUCGCUACUACCGAUUGAAUGGUUUAGUGAGAUCUCUGGAUUGACGCUGGCUAGGGGGCGACCCUUGGCCAGACUGUUGAGAAACUGCUCAAACUUGAUCAUUUAGAGGAAGUAAAAGUCGUAACA
rnacentral:rRNA from 1 species